UACGAAGGGGGCUAGCGUUGCUCGGAAUCACUGGGCGUAAAGGGUGCGUAGGCGGGUUUUUAAGUCAGAGGUGAAAUCCUGGAGCUCAACUCCAGAACUGCCUUUGAUACUGAAAGUCUUGAGUAUGGGAGAGGUGAGUGGAACUGCGAGUGUAGAGGUGAAAUUCGUAGAUAUUCGCAAGAACACCAGUGGCGAAGGCGGCUCACUGGCCCAUAACUGACGCUGAGGCACGAAAGCGUGGGGAGCCAAACAGGG
rnacentral:rRNA from 1 species